UGAAAACUACAUGGCUGUGACUUUACGGACAGAAAAUUCCUUUUUAGAUCUCUACUAAUGAUAACCGCCCGAUUGCGAGCUACAGGGAUAUGGGCGUCCAGCCGGUUACAACGGUGCAGCUGCUCCUGCUGUUGUCGCUGCUGUCGGCUGUCAGUGUCGCUGGCCAGAACAACGCCACGAUCGACAAGAACGGAACUAUCAAAUGGCCUCACCUGCCGGCUGGAAAACCUUACGUGACGGAGGGGACAACUGUCAGCUCGGGCGGACUGGACACAUUUUACGACCUGUCUCGUAGUGUUAUUGCGUCAUCACUGCCAGAGACACCCCCUCUAGAUACUGUUAAAGGUAUUAUUGAUGGUAAACUUAGCAUCGGCAAUGAAUUGCAAAACCUGGUAAAGUCAUCCGUGGGAUUUGCAGUAUGCCUCGCAAUUGGACUUCUCUUCUUCAUAAUUUUUCCUCUGGUUGGACUCUGCUUCUGUUGUUGUCGCUGCUGCGGCAACUGUGGAGGGAAAAUGCUGCAAAGAGAACACCCAAAAGCUACGUGUCGGAAAAGAGCGUUCAUGGGCAUACUGCUGGUAUUAAUCGUAUUUCAAGGAGCCGGUAUUAUCUGUACGUACGUUAGCAACAACCAUCUUUCCGGGACCCUCAGUUCAAUGCAGAAAAUCACCAACAACGCUGUGAGCGACAUCUUGAACUUCAUAGAUAACGUCGACCAGCAGUUUAAACAGAUCCUCAUCAACAAUGUGAACUUUGUGAAGAAACUAUUGAAAGCUGAUACAGACGAAAAACGGAUAUCAUCACUAAUCACCAAGCCAUUAGUUCGCAAUUUAAGCAGAGACAUCAAUUUUGAUGGAAUUCUAACUAACAUCAAGAAAGAUGUGGACAACGCGAUGCGCAUUGUAUCUGAUAUGGACACAUCUUUGAGAACGUUAAAGUCAGAGACAGCAACCAUUGCAGGAAUACCCUCGCAGCUCAAGAAUGUCGAGACGGCCGUCAAGAGUCUGAAGAGUAAACUGAACGUGAAGCUCAAUAAUGGCACGCAGAACAUGUUAAAGAACGAAAUACAGAAAGGCGUGACUAAUGCUGUAAAAAAUAUGAAUGUACAGGCACAAGUUGACGAAAUGACAAAAAAGCAUAUUGAUAAGAUCCAAGAAGACAUACGCAAAGCCAUAAGAAAGGUAAAAUCAAGGAUAGAGGAUCUGGACAUUGAGACGACUGUAGCGGACAACGUCAAACUCAUUUCACAAUAUGAUAAGUACAGGAACUAUGGUGGAAUUAGUAUAGCGUCGAUUCUUCUUCUUGUGGUACUACUCCAAGGGUUUGGGCUGAUGUGUGGACUUUUCUGUUCUAACUCGAACGUAAAUCAGACAGAACGAGGGUGUAUGUCGAAUGCCGGUGGGAAUAUGCUUAUGGCGUCUGUGGGAUUCCUCUUUAUUUUUGGAGGUAUCAUAAUGCUCGUUACAACAGUGCUAUAUUUGGCUGGAAGUAUCGCAGAGAGGUAUAUGUGUCAAUCAAUCAAGAAUCCCAGCAGGAUCGACAAGUAUGUAAAUACGUUCAUAGACACAGACCAUGGAAACAUCGAGUUUGACAUUCAAGGAAAAACAUUGAAGUUUUCUGUAUCAGGAGUACUGAGGUCGUGCAAAGAAGGAAAGACAUUAUAUGACGCUGUGCAGCUGGGAAACGUUAUCGAUAGACGCGACAUGUUGAACAAAGUCAAGUUUUACAAGGACAAAAUGAUUCCAUCUGAUUUUGACAAACAUUUGAAUCUGAAGAAUCUGAACUUGACUGAUAAAGUUGGGAAACUGAAACGACAAAUAACAUCAACUGAAGGAUCCAGUAAACAGCUGGAUGAUGUCAGGAAAAAGCUACAGACUUUAAGACUGCUGUUAACAAAACAACAUCCAGAAGGGAUCACCAACGUGAAUAAAAUUGAAGCUUCUAUUAAAGAACUCCAACCAUUCAUCAGUAAAUUACCGAAAGGACUGAAUGACCUGACCGCGAAAUUAACAAAGCUGGACACAGAUUUGCCCAAAAAGGCAGGGAAAUACAUCAAGGCACUGCAUACUGACCUGGGUAACUGUCGACCAAUCUGGUCUGUGUACAAUGUCCUGGCCCUGGAAACAGUGUGUCACGGAAUCGUGGAUCCUCUGGUUGGACGAUUUUCUUUGGUUUACCAUCUUUGGUAUUCUCCGUGAAACUUGCAAAGCACUUGAGACGGAUGAAAUAUGUGGACGAGUUUACUACUACGAGACCUGGAGAAAGGUCGAUGUCUGUCAAUUCUUCUAAGCAACAAAGUAGAACAUCAAGAUUUACAAGGCAGCAUCUUACCCUAAUUGCAGGGACCAGAGACGCACAAGGCGUGAUUUGUUAUAUUCGAGAAACCAUCCGUACAAAUGACUUAACUCAU
rnacentral:misc_RNA from 1 species